AGUAAAGUAAGCUAAUUAAUAAGCUGUUGGGUUCAUACCCCAAAAAUAGAUAAAUAUUCUCUUUAUUA
rnacentral:tRNA from 1 species